CUCUCUCUCUCUCUAUCCCUCUCUUUCUCUCUCUCUUCUAGUUUAUCCUACUGUGGCGGUAACACCAGUAGCUGCUGUGCAACUACACCACUUCUGUGACGCCUGCCAACAAGCGUAUGGAGCUGUAUCGUAUCUGAGGACCACGUGUGAAGAUGCAACCCACCAUAUCUCCUUCGUGUGUGGCAAGGCCAAGCUAGCCCCUCUGAAACAGCAGACCAAACCUCGACUCGAGCUCUGCGCGGCAGUACUGGCUGCCAAGGCAAACAAACAACUAUGGUGGCAGGAUGAGCGGAUAAGGGAGGAGUUGGGUGGAGAAGAACAAGUCUGAAUGUGUGUGGAGUCUGUGGACAUGUGUUCUCCAACGUGGCCCUCUCAAUUUCUAACUUGGCCCUCGC